CCCUUUAAUGGCUGGUGUUCUAACGUAGACCCGUGAUCCGGGUUGCGGACAGUGUCUGGUGGGUAGUUUGACUGGGGCGGUCUCCUCCCAAAGAGUAACGGAGGAGCACGAAGGUUGGCUAAUCCUGGUCGGACAUCAGGAGGUUAGUGCAAUGGCAUAAGCCAGCUUGACUGCGAGCGUGACGGCGCGAGCAGGUGCGAAAGCAGGUCAUAGUGAUCCGGUGGUUCUGAAUGGAAGGGCCAUCGCUCAACGGAUAAAAGGUACUCCGGGGAUAACAGGCUGAUACCGCCCAAGAGUUCAUAUCGACGGCGGUGUUUGGCACCUCGAUGUCGGCUCAUCACAUCCUGGGGCUGAAGUAGGUCCCAAGGGUAUGGCUGUUCGCCAUUUAAAGUGGUACGCGAGCUGGGUUUAGAACGUCGUGAGACAGUUCGGUCCCUAUCUGCCGUGGGCGCUGGAGAAUUGAGGGGGGCUGCUCCUAGUACGAGAGGACCGGAGUGGACGCAUCACUGGUGUUCGGGUUGUCAUGCCAAUGGCACUGCCCGGUAGCUAAAUGCGGAAGAGAUAAGUGCUGAAAGCAUCUAAGCACGAAACUUGCCCCGAGAUGAGUUCUCCCUGAGACUUUAAGUCUCCUGAAGGAACGUUGAAGACGACGACGUUGAUAGGUCGGGUGUGUAAGCGCAGCGAUGCGUUGAGCUAACCGAUACUAAUGAACCGUGAGGCUUAACCUUACAACGCCGAAGGUGUUU
rnacentral:rRNA from 1 species